AGCAGUGUAGCAUAGUGGCAAGGAGCAGGGCUCAUAACCAAAAGGUUGCGGGUUCGAUUCCCUGUUGGGCCACUGCUG